AACUCAUUUUCUUUAUUGGAAUCAAACUCCAUAAUCAACGUUCCAGAAAAAGCGACGGCAGUUUGUGUAAAUCAUCUCAUUUAAGCCUCAUUUCUUAUAUGUAUAAUCACUCCCGCUCAUUCCCCCCCAACCUUUAAUCUUCCUCUGUCUCAAAACCCUAAAGCUAACACUCCACUGACUCUGAAAAAAAUUCAAGAGCUGCCAUACACUUUAGCAUUUAUCAAAGACCCAUUUGAACUUAUUAUUACUCUUUUGGUAACUUUAUUGCUCGAAGGAUUGUAUCAGUUCUUUCCUUAUAUGCUUGUGUUAUGGGAAGUUCAGAGGUAUUAGAGAAUGGGGCUGUGAGUAAUGGGAAUGGUAUAAAAUCACGUGAUGAGGAUGACUUCUAUGGAAUGACAAAUGGUGGGUUUGAGAAAAUGGUUAAUGGUGGAAAGGAAAAUGAGAAUUUGGGUGAUGAGAUUUUGGAGGAUUUUGAUACUUAUUGGGAAGAUAUCAACGACCGCUUAAUGGUAUCAAGGAUGGUGAGCGACUCGGUGAUUAAGGGAAUGGUGAGUGCUGUGGAGCAAGAGGCGGCUGAGAGGCUAGCUGCUAAGGAAAUUGAAUUAACCAACUUGAAGGAGUAUUUGCAUUUUCAUGAUGGGGGUCUUAGCAAAAUUGAAUCUCUUGGGUCACUUACGUUGCAGGAUGAGCUAGAAAGCAUGAAUUUUCGAAAACACUUGAGUCUAUCUGAUGUUUUUAUGGAGCAUGACAAGAUGGGAGACUUUCUUGAUGGGCUAAGAAGUUCGGCAAAGGUUGAAUUCAAGAAGUUGAAUAAGAGUAUUUAUGAGGUUAGAGGAUCCAAUUGUAUCAGGAACAUCAGCCCUCGCUCUGAGAUGGUGGGACUAGAAGCUAUUCUUCACGAGAAGGAUUCUGGAAUUUGGGAUCAGGUGGACAAAACAAUAGAUAACCUGAAAACGAUGGUGGAUACCAUCUUUAAGCGAAUGGAUGAUAUGCUACAAUUGUCCAAGACAUCACUUGGUCAGUGGCAGGAGGAGCAUCUCACUGAAGUGGAGCUUGAGGCGAUGAUAAUGCGCAGUGUAAUUCGGACUGUGCAGGAAGACUUUGAGUACAAAUUAUGGGACCAGUAUGCUCGAUUGUGUGGUGACCGAAAUGAGAAGUUGAAUGACAUCUCUAGUUUACGGACGGAUUUGGAAGCUGUUUUAAAGUCAUUGUCAAGUUCAGAAACAGGGCAUAUUAACUCCCAUGGAUUGCAUGAUGUUGAUUUCUUUGCACGCAAGACAUCAAGUGAGCAUGUGACUUCUUCAAAAUCUGUUUGGGAUGGAAAUGAGAAGAUGGAGGAUUCUAAGACUGAUAUACCUGAGAACUUUGAUGCUGCCACGUUGAAGCACAUGUCAAGAGACGAAAUGGUGAACCAUUUUAAUAAUAUACUGACAAAGAUGAAGAGACACCAUGAGUCCAUUCUGCAAAAGAAAACCGAUGAAUACUUUGUUCUAAGAGCAGAUUAUCUAAAGCUUAGAGGAGGCUCUGCUGUGCCACACAAAAAGGAUAAGGGUGAAUUUGAUGUUCUAAGGAAGAAGAUUCCAGAAAUUAUAUUCAAAUUGGAUGAUAUUCUUGUGGACAAUGAAAAACAUCCUGCAUUUACCCAGGAGACUCUAAGUUUCGAUAACUUCAAGGAUAGGCUUGAUAGCCUUCUUUCUGAAAAUCACCAGCUCAGAGACUUGCUUAGAGAUAAGAAAAAUGAAGUUAAGUCCCUUUUGUCCCAGGUUUCCGAUGCUACUGAGAAGAGGCUGCAACAUUCUUCGGUGGAAGCAGACAUGCUAAAACAGAUAGGAGAUCUCAAUUUAGCCAUGGAACAGUCACUCAUAGAAGCUUCUGUAAGGGAAGAAGUGUAUACUUGUUUUCUAAGGGAUCUUAGUGGAGGGACAGGAAAUGAAGUUGAGGAAUUAAACUUGGGAUUUGAUAUGAUUAAUGAUAGUAACGAUACUAAUGCUGGACGUACUAGAAAGGUUGAAAUUGAAGAUUUAGAUAUGGAGUGCCUGAUUAUGCAAGAAAUAUGUGGAGUGAUUUUCGGUGAAGGCAUCAAGGAGGCUAAAGGCAUUCUCAAGGAGCUGUAUUGUGAGUAUUUGAAUGAAAAAGAAAUUCGUAUAUCUCUUGAGACCAAAGUUAUUCAGAUGGAAAACGAAUUGAAAUUCGAGGUUGAAGAGAAGGACAGGCUAAAGCAAAAUGUUUCUGUGCUGGAAACGUCUGUGAAUGAAAAGGAAAGGUUAGCAACAGAUGCUUCAGCUGCUCUAGCAAAAGAGAGGAAGCAAUUUGAGCAGGUGUGUCAAGAGUUAAAUACUGUGAAAGAGUUUGCAAGUCAGCAACAAACAUUAGCUUCUGGGUGCAACAAAGAAGUAAAUGUAGUAAAAGGCCAAUUGGCAGAAGCAUUGGAGCAAAUUGAAGUAUUGAAAGGGGAGGCAGCACAAUUAAAUAAAAGUCUUGAGGAGAAGGCCAAGGAGUUAAAAGACGCUAAUCACAGGGAAGAUAUGGCCCUUGCUAUCUCUGAAGAGAGGCAAACUGUUUUGUCCUCACUUGAAGCAAAAGAAAUAGAGCUGAGAAAGCAGGUGGAAACAAUUAUUGGUAAUAUAAAUGAAUCAUCAAAGAUGCUUGCUGAUUUCGAAUGCAGGGUGACAGGAAGUUUGAUAACAAAUAAUGCCAGGUUUGAGCACUCUUCUUCUCAAUUGGAUUCUCUUGUUAAAAAGGCAAAUUUGCUGAGAAGAACAAUGCUACUAUACCAACAAAGGCUUGACAGAAGAUGUUCUGACCUUCAAUUGGCCGAGGCUGAGGUUGAUCUUUUGGGUGAUGAGGUGGAUACACUUUUAAGCCUACUUGAGAAGAUUUAUAUAGCACUUGAUCAUUACUCGCCAGUUUUGCAGCAUUAUCCUGGGAUUAUGGAGAUUCUGAAGGUGAUCAAAAGGGAAUUAACUGGCGAGUCUACCAAGCUAGUAAAAUCAUCUCCUGCGUAAGAUAUGAGUUCGAUUCCUGGAAUUUUCGUAUUCCUCCAUCCUGGCUGGUACCAAUUCAAAGUACAACACGAAGGUGGGAAAACAGAUUUUAGUUAGUGUCACAGAAAUGUAUUACCUUUUUGUAGCAGCUCGAAAUAGGGAAAGGUUAAUGAAGUUUCAACUGACCGGGCGUGUAGAGGAGAUCCCUAGUUGUGUAUAUUCUGUAUCAUCAGUCAGGAAAACCAAAAAUCUAUAGCUGCAGCUGUGAAUUUUAUAGGGUAUAUCACAAGACUCAAAUCAACUUCUAAGGAAAGGAAGCCUUUCAUUGUUGCCGAUACUGAGACAGUUAUGAUAAACGAUAUUCACGUGCCAUAUGCUGCGGGUUUUUUAGUGGUUGAACCGGGCGAUGCUCCGUCAGAAGAGAUGGGCGGUAGUAUUGAAACGUAUUUCAAUGAAGACAAUCCAGCAGUCUCUAUUUCCAACUAUCCAUAAAAGGAGUAAUUACCAGUUAUGUCGGCCCAUAAGUAAGUUAGUACGAAAUUAGCCAAUUCAUAAAAUAUUACUAAUAUUAGCCAAUUUGCUAUUUCUAGCAAAAAA